rnacentral:rRNA from 1 species
UACGUAGGGGGCAAGCGUUGUCCGGAAUCAUUGGGCGUAAAGCGCGUGUAGGCGGCUCGGUAAGUCCGCUGUGAAAGCCCAGGGCUCAACCCUGGAAAGCGGGUGGAUACUGCCGGGCUAGAGUCCGGAAGAGGCGAGUGGAAUUCCUGGUGUAGCGGUGGAAUGCGCAGAUAUCAGGAGGAACACCAAUAGCGAAGGCAGCUCGCUGGGACGGUAUUGACGCUGAGGCGCGAAAGCGUGGGGAGCAAACAGG